GACGAACGCUGGCGGCGUGCUUAACACAUGCAAGUCGAACGGAAAGGCCCUGCUUUUGUGGGGUGCUCGAGUGGCGAACGGGUGAGUAACACGUGAGUAACCUGCCCUUGACUUUGGGAUAACUUCAGGAAACUGGGGCUACUACCGGAUAGGAGCUCCUGCUGCAUGGUGGGGGUUGGAAAGUUUCGGCGGUUGGGGAUGGACUCGCGGCUUAUCAGCUUGUUGGUGGGGUAGUGGCUUACCAAGGCUUUGACGGGUAGCCGGCCUGAGAGGGUGACCGGCCACAUUGGGACUGAGAUACGGCCCAGACUCCUACGGGAGGCAGCAGGGGGGAAUAUUGCACAAUGGGCGGAAGCCUGAUGCAGAAACGCCGCGUGCGGGAUGACGGCCUGCGGGUUGUAAACCGCUUUCGCCUGUGACGAAGCGUGAGUGACGGUAAUGGGUAAAGAAGCACCGGCUAACUACGUG
rnacentral:rRNA from 1 species